rnacentral:rRNA from 1 species
AUGACGCUUCUAAGCUGGAACUGCCGGGGCCUCGGGCAGCCCCGGACAGUUCAGGAAUUGGUGUGCCUGGUGCACACCUACAAACCAAAGCUCGUUUUUCUGUUGGAUACACGGCAAAGAAAUAAAUAUGUAAGCAACCUAAGAUGGAGAUUAGGUCUGAAACACUGCAUCACACAUGCUGGCAUAGGAAAAGGAGCCGACAUUGCCUUGUAUUAUGAUGAAAGCGUGGAAGUAAUAAAACUUGCCGUGGGUUUGAGAUACAUUGAUGUGUUGAUUCGUUUGAACCCUCAUGGCCAGCAGUGGCGUGCAACAUUUGUGUAUGGAGAGGCAAAAGCGCAUGAACGCCAUCAUAUGUGGAACCUCCUGUGA